GUGCCAGCAGCCGCGGUAACACCGGCAGCCCAAGUGAUGGCCGAUAUUAUUGGGCCUAAAGCGUCCGUAGCUGGCCGCGCAAGUUCGUCGGGAAAUCCACUCGCUUAACGAGUGGGCGUCCGGCGAAAACUGUGCGGCUUGGGACCGGAAGAUCCAAGGGGUACGUCCGGGGUAGGAGUGAAAUCCCGUAAUCCUGGACGGACCACCGAUGGCGAAAGCACCUUGAGAGGACGGACCCGACAGUGAGGGACGAAAGCCAGGGUCUCGAACCGGAUUAGAAACCCCAGUAGUCC
rnacentral:rRNA from 1 species